ACGGGUGAGUAUAAUAUUGGAACGUACCGAGUAAUGGGGGAUGACUAUCCGAAAGGAUGGCUAAUACCGCAUACGUCCUGAGGGAGAAAGCGGGGGACAGGCAACUGCCUCGUGUUAUUUGAGCGGCCAAUAUCGGAUUAGCUAGUUGGUGGGGUAAAGGCUUACCAAGGCGACGAUCCGUAGCGGGUCUGAGAGGAUGAUCCGCCACACUGGGACUGAGACACGGCCCAGACUCCUACGGGAGGCAGCAGUGGGGAAUUUUGGACAAUGGGGGGAACCCUGAUCCAGCCAUGCCGCGUGUAUGAAGAAGGCCUUAGGGUUGUAAAGUACUUUUGUUAGGGAAGAAAAGGCGUUUGCUAAUAUCAGAUGCUGAUGACGGUACCUAAAGAAUAAGCACCGGCUAACUACGUGCCAGCAGCCGCGGUAAUACGUAGGGUGCAAGCGUUAAUCGGAAUUACUGGGCGUAAAGCGAGCGCAGACGGUUACUUAAGCAAGAUGUGAAAUCCCCGAGCUCAACUUGGGAACUGCGUUUUGAACUGGGUAGCUAGAGUGUGUCAGAGGGGGGUAGAAUUCCACGUGUAGCAGUGAAAUGCGUAGAGAUGUGGAGGAAUACCGAUGGCGAAAGGCAGCCCCCUGGGAUAGCACUGACGUUCAUGCUCGAAAGCGUGGGUAGCAAACAGGAUUAGAUACCCUGGUAGUCCACGCCCUAA
rnacentral:rRNA from 1 species